UACAGAGGGGGCAAGCGUUGUUCGGAAUUACUGGGCGUAAAGCGUGCGCAGGCGGUUCGUCGUGUCCGAUGUGAAAGCCCCGGGCUCAACCUGGGAAUUGCAUUCGAGACUGAAUAGCUAGGGUGCGGUAGAGGGAAGCGGAAUUUCCGGUGUAGCGGUGAAAUGCGUAGAGAUCGGGAGGAAGGCCGGUGGCGAAGGCGGCGCUCUGGAACGUACCUGACGCUGAGACACGAAAGCGUGGGGAGCAACAGG
rnacentral:rRNA from 1 species